GCCUUAUAAGUAAGUAAACCACAGCUGCUGCUCCUCCUCUUUCUACUUUCUUGUGCUUUGCCCCUCCCCUUUCCCAGGUGAUUGGGUUUGGGUGCUGGGUGGGACCAAAAGGUAUAUGAGCCCCAAGUAUGCCAUGAGAGAGCUCCUUCUGCCUGGGCUGCUCUUUGGGGGCAGUGCUUUGUUUUUCCUUCAGUCAGUUGCAGGGUUCUCUAGGCAGGCUGGAGUCUAUGGGUUUCUGGAAUUCUUAAGUGCUUGGAAUUCACUUAAUAGAGGGAUAUUUAGUAGAGGUUGCUGGCUCAAUGUUUUUUGGGAUGGUGGGAUGUGCUUCUGUUUUUGAUCUGUAUUUUAAUCUCCAGAUGAAUCAACCCACUUGUGUAACUCUCCAGAGGACUAAAACCAGCUUGAUUACAUGCUAGAAGAGGCUUGACCGUGUUCGUGCAGUAUUACCAAGAGACUGAGCAGGGUCACGUUUUUCAUCUGCAAAGGCUCAGGGCAUAGGCACGGAAACUUGAACGAAGCAUGAGGGUGAGUGGACAGCAGUGGGGGCCCCGAGUUGGUCGGUGGACUGUGUUAUUCUGCUUCACCUGUCGGGCCGGCUUUGCAAGUGCCUUGCGACAGCAGAGUACGUCUCCUGCCACGUUUCUGACAUGUGCCAGACGUCAGCGGUUCCAGUUCCUGAAAUGCUGGAGAUGCUCGGAGCACAAGAGGAGCUGGGAGCAUGAUGCAUCUCCUGGGGAUGUUAGUCCUGUUACCUUGGCUCAACACAGUGAAUGGAAGCGCUAAGCCUGGAUCGGGAAGGUGAGUGGAGAAAAUUUGGAAAACGGGUAUUGUUUUUGCUGUAGUAGUCUCUUGGUGCACCUCUGGGUGACUCCUCUUUUGCAGGGACGAAGAAGGUCCUGGGAACAUCCUAGCUGGCCUCUGUGGUGCACAUUGAUAGUGGAUUCUGAGCCCUGAGAAUUAAGUCCAGGGGGAAAUACUGUGUGUUGUGGAGUGGUUGGCAGAGGGAGGUGGGGAGUUGUUUAAAGGGUGUCUAUCUGAUUUCAGUAGCAGAGCAGGUCAGUUGAUUACUGUUUUGUUUCUGAGGAGGUUGUUUCACUGGAAGAAAUUCGGCUAGUGUGCUGGUGCCUGAUGGCACUUCAUUUCUGCAGGUGAAGAGGAGCCUUGUGCCUGAAGCAAUGUCCUGGCUAGCCUUUGUGUUCCUUGGUGAGGAUGGAACCUGCCUCCCAGCAU